AUAGGGGAGCCGAAGGGAAACCGAGUCUUAACUGGGCGUUAAGUUGCAGGGUAUAGACCCGAAACCCGGUGAUCUAGCCAUGGGCAGGUUGAAGGUUGGGUAACACUAACUGGAGGACCGAACCGACUAAUGUUGAAAAAUUAGCGGAUGACUUGUGGCUGGGGGUGAAAGGCCAAUCAAACCGGGAGAUAGCUGGUUCUCCCCGAAAGCUAUUUAGGUAGCGCCUCGUGAACUCAUCUUCGGGGGUAGAGCACUGUUUCGGCUAGGGGGUCAUCCCGACUUACCAACCCGAUGCAAACUGCGAAUACCGAAGAAUGUUAUCACGGGAGACACACGGCGGGUGCUAACGUCCGUCGUGAAGAGGGAAACAACCCAGACCGCCAGCUAAGGUCCCAAAGUCACAGUUAAGUGGGAAACGAUGUGGGAAGGCUCAGACAGCCAGGAUGUUGGCUUAGAAGCAGCCAUCAUUUAAAGAAAGCGUAAUAGCUCACUGGUCGAGUCGGCCUGCGCGGAAGAUGUAACGGGGCUAAACUGUGCACCGAAGCUGCGGCAGCGACGCUUAUGCGUUGUUGGGUAGGGGAGCGUUCUGUAAGCCUGCGAAGGUGUCCUGUGAGGGAUGCUGGAGGUAUCAGAAGUGCGAAUGCUGACAUAAGUAACGAUAAUGCGGGUGAAAAGCCCGCUCGCCGGAAGACCAAGGGUUCCUGUCCAACGUUAAUCGGGGCAGGGUGAGUCGACCCCUAAGGCGAGGCCGAAAGGCGUAGUCGAUGGGAAACGGGUUAAUAUUCCCGUACUUGGUGUUACUGCGAAGGGGGGACGGAGAAGGCUAUGUUGGCCGGGCGACGGUUGUCCCGGUUUAAGCGUGUAGGUGUGUGUUCCAGGUAAAUCCGGUUCACUUUAACACUGAGGCGUGAUGACGAGGCACUACGGUGCUGAAGCAACAAAUGCCCUGCUUCCAGGAAAAGCCUCUAAGCAUCAGGUAACAUCAAAUCGUACCCCAAACCGACACAGGUGGUCAGGUAGAGAAUACCAAGGCGCUUGAGAGAACUCGGGUGAAGGAACUAGGCAAAAUGGUGCCGUAACUUCGGGAGAAGGCACGCUGACACGUAGGUGAAGUGAUUUACUCAUGGAGCUGAAGUCAGUCGAAGAUACCAGCUGGCUGCAACUGUUUAUUAAAAACACAGCACUGUGCAAACACGAAAGUGGACGUAUACGGUGUGACGCCUGCCCGGUGCCGGAAGGUUAAUUGAUGGGGUCAGCGCAAGCGAAGCUCCUGAUCGAAGCCCCGGUAAACGGCGGCCGUAACUAUAACGGUCCUAAGGUAGCGAAAUUCCUUGUCGGGUAAGUUCCGACCUGCACGAAUGGCGUAAUGAUGGCCAGGCUGUCUCCACCCGAGACUCAGUGAAAUUGAACUCGCUGUGAAGAUGCAGUGUACCCGCGGCAAGACGGAAAGACCCCGUGAACCUUUACUAUAGCUUGACACUGAACAUUGAGCCUUGAUGUGUAGGAUAGGUGGGAGGCUUUGAAGUGUGGACGCCAGUCUGCAUGGAGCCGACCUUGAAAUACCACCCUUUAAUGUUUGAUGUUCUAACGUGGACCCGUAAUCCGGGUUGCGGACAGUGUCUGGUGGGUAGUUUGACUGGGGCGGUCUCCUCCUAAAGAGUAACGGAGGAGCACGAAGGUUGGCUAAUCCUGGUCGGACAUCAGGAGGUUAGUGCAAUGGCAUAAGCCAGCUUGACUGCGAGCGUGACGGCGCGAGCAGGUGCGAAAGCAGGUCAUAGUGAUCCGGUGGUUCUGAAUGGAAGGGCCAUCGCUCAACGGAUAAAAGGUACUCCGGGGAUAACAGGCUGAUACCGCCCAAGAGUUCAUAUCGACGGCGGUGUUUGGCACCUCGAUGUCGGCUCAUCACAUCCUGGGGCUGAAGUAGGUCCCAAGGGUAUGGCUGUUCGCCAUUUAAAGUGGUACGCGAGCUGGGUUUAGAACGUCGUGAGACAGUUCGGUCCCUAUCUGCCGUGGGCGCUGGAGAACUGAGGGGGGCUGCUCCUAGUACGAGAGGACCGGAGUGGACGCAUCACUGGUGUUCGGGUUGUCAUGCCAAUGGCACUGCCCGGUAGCUAAAUGCGGAAGAGAUAAGUGCUGAAAGCAUCUAAGCACGAAACUUGCCCCGA
rnacentral:rRNA from 1 species